GCCCCCGGCUGCCUUUUUUUAAAGUAAAUGUGGGGGGAAAUGUUCUUAAAUGAGCUAAUUCAAGACUGGCUAUAUAACUCAGUUUUAAAGAACUCGCGCAGCUGGUAUUGAGGCCCUAGAUUGUGUGGUCCAUAGACAGGAAGAAUGGAGCCCUGUCAGCUGAGGGUGGUGUCCUGGCCCCAGCAGGGCCUGUUUGCCCGUGGUGUAGGAGCUGGGAGCUGUCAUGGGCCUCCUGACCUGACUCACUCGGUGUUAGUAUCUGUUGCUCAGGAAGCUCACUUUCUUCCCUCAGGAAAAAAAGACAAGGAGAAAAAGGAGAAGAAGAAAGGAAAAAAGACCUCAGUCAAAGACCCUGACUCGCUAGUCAAGAAGAAAAAGAAGAAAAAGAAGAAGACAGCAGAGCCUGCCGUGUGAGGCCAGCACAUAGAACAGAGUCUUGUCAGAGUGUGGCCGUCCCCAGACCUCUGACCUGGCCAGUGUGAGUUGGGACUGGACUUUUUAACUUACCCUCCCUCAACAGAAGAUGAUGGCCGGCUCCAGCUUUUGCCGCC